UACGUAGGGUGCAAGCGUUGUCCGGAAUUACUGGGCGUAAAGGGCUCGUAGGCGGCCAACUAAGUCGGACGUGAAAUCCCUCAGCUUAACUGGGGAACUGCGUCUGAUACUGGAUGGCUUGAGUUUGGGAGAGGGAUGCGGAAUUCCAGGUGUAGCGGUGAAAUGCGUAGAUAUCUGGAGGAACACCGGUGGCGAAGGCGGCCUUCUGGACAGUGACUGACGCUGAGACGCGAAAAGCGUGGGGGAGCAAACAGGG
rnacentral:rRNA from 1 species